GGAUGGAACUGUGUCUCAAGCUGUAUUUUGGGGAGGGACCCUGUAUACUUGUUUGAACAACUUGUAAGUUGUUAACUUCUUCACUAAAAAAGUCUCUCGGUGCAUUUUCUUCAUUCUUGCAUUUAUAUACUGUUAGAUUGUCUGUCUAUUUUGCUCGUGAAUUAUAAAAAAAUUGUUUCUUUUCAGGAAAAUAAAAUAAGAGUUGAGAAAAUUUUGUAUUCCCUACCGUUUGUUUCUGCAAUCAGUAUUAGUGAAGUUAAAGCAUUAUUUGACCUGUAAAGAGCAUCAGCAGUUCUGUGGAUGAGGAGAUAGUCUAUUAAAAAAGGUACUUUUGUACCAGUCACUUUAAAUUCAUCCUUAUUUUUGUUGUUGUCUAUGUUGCAAUGGCCUAUCCUGUCAGGUAAAUUGGGAAGGAAAGAGUAGUUAGUAUAUUCUAGAGUUAGAUAUAUUGUAUGCACAUGUAAUGCACAUGGGUGGUUAGUUAGCAUGUGUAUAUAGGAUAAGAGAAUGGUGUAGAUUAGGAGUAUUUACACUUUUUUAACAUUUUAGUUGCUAUAUAUAUGCGUAUAAAAACUUUUGAAUAUUAUGCAAUUUGUGAAUGAAAUAGGAAAAGCUUCUUUAAGCUUUCUCUCUCUCUCUCUCAGUGAUAAAUCAUUAAGUUUUUCUCCUUCUUCCUCCCUUAUUCUCUUUGAAUUCUCUCUUAUUUCUAUCUCUAUCUCUGUUUCUAUCUUAUUUUUUGGUUAUGCUUUAAUAAAUGCCUGACAAAUUGGUAUCAGAGCUUAAGCUCUAUCCAAACACAUUAUCUUCUUCCUUUACAUCCUCUGCUCUUCUCGAUUUUCAACCUUUGAUUUCUGCUUCUAUACCCUUCUAGCUGAAUUCUAUCUCUUCUACCUUCUUCCCUCCUUCAAACACUACUUAGAACCAAUACAAAAUCAUCGAUAGCAAUUGUAGAUCUCUGUCCCAUAAUAACAGAAAAUAAGCCUCGGAGGCUCUUUUUUCUAGCGUACCUGCAACAUAGCAAAUUCAAGUGUUAAUUCACUUGUUUCAGGUAUUAAACACUUUCAUCAUACUCGUUCCUAUCACAUAUAGAUAGCUCGGUCCAUAAAACUCAUUUACAACAUCACCCACACAUAUUUUACUUCAUAUUUUGCUUGAUCUUCUUUGUCGGUCAAAUUUUUCCAUAUUCUAUGAAUUAAUUUUGUUUGAUCCGUUUUGUUUGUGUUAGGUGAUUCAUCUUAAGUUGUUUUAGUCAUAGAGUCUAACAAGUUUCAAUCGUAGAGUCUUACAAUUUGUUUUAAUCGUAGUGUCUUACAAGUUGUUUCAAUUGUAGAGUCUUACAAGUUGUUUGAGUCCAGAGUCUAACAAGUUGAUUCAAUCGUAGAAUCUUACAAGUUGUUUCAAUCGUGAAGUCUUACAAGUUGUUUCAGUCUAUACGAUUGUAGAGUCUUAUUAGUUGUUCCAGUCUACGAUCGUAGAGUCUUCCAAUACUAAACUUGUGGAUACUCAGUUUGUUUCACUGAGGAAGUUAACUUGUCAAUUAAAUAGCACUACUUAAGCUCACUUAUUCUUACUCAAGUAUUGUUGCUACUACUUGAAUUCAUUUUCAAACUCGAAAUCACAAUUAUUAUGCGACUCAUUUUCUCUUUACUAUCUAUAAAUAUGGUUGGUGCUUCACAAAUAUUGUAGUAGGAUUUCAAAAACUAUAGAGAGUAGUACAUCAAUGAGAAAUUACAACUCAUUGAUGAGAAAAUGGACCACUUCAUGGAAGGUAUGAAUGAACUGUUGAGACAGAAGAGCCCAGAUAAUGAUGGCAGGUUUGAAAAUCCUUUUGGGGAUAAUGGAAGGGGCAAAAGGCCUGUUCAUAUGGGGCAAAGGAGAGAGAAAGGCUUCUUUAGAGACUCUAGGAAUGUUGAGCAAGAAAGAGUAAAGAAACAUGAAGAUGAUGCUCAAUGGAGGAGGAACUAAAAUGAUGAUGAUGGUGAAGAGGAGAGGAGAGAAGAACUUAAAUAUCUUAAAUUGGUGUUCCCAUUAUUUACUGAGGGUGAUGAUGCUAAGAGCUGGAUACAGGAUUGCGAGGAGUAUUUUGGCAUAUAUGAGAUUCAUUCUCUUAAGAAGGAUUGACAUAGCUGAGAUGCACCUCCAUGGUUCUCCAAAAUUUUGGUACAAGUCUUAUGUCAAUGGCAAAGAGAGGCUUACUUGGAUAGGAGUUUGCAAAAAAUUUCACUGUGAGGUAGGUGUGGAAAAUAUAUAUGAACAAUUCAAGUUGUUGAAGUGAGUAGGAACUGUGAAUGUAUAUUAUGAUGAGUUUGAAAGGCGUAAGAGGAGACUACUUGAGAAGUUGCCUCACUUGACUGAGGACUUUUUUGUAGGGAACUUUGUUGGUAGACUAAAAGAUGAAAUCAAAAAAAUGAUAAAGUUGUUAGACCCAGAAACUCUAUCCCGAGCCUUCAAACAAGCCAAGUUCUACGAGUCUUAUUCCUAAACUUGCCAACAUCCACAACUAUCCUAAACCACAACCCAACCACACCAACAUUCAGCCCAAUUACAAAAAAAAAACUCCCUGCACCACCAACCACCAAAACUCCUAUGCUCACCUAUCCUACUAUCCUAGAAAUGACUUUAACAAGCCUAAACAUACUACUGCAACUCAAAAGAGAUGAGAGAAAAACCAAGAGCCUAUAUUUUUAUUGUGGUGAGAAAUACACCAUGAGACACCAAUACAAGGCUCCUCAGAAUUUCGUGAUCACUUGUAAGGAUUUUCAGAACUGUAAGGACUCUCAAGAGUUUGUGGAAUACCCUGGAACUCCCCAAUAAGAUGAAGAAGCAACCUGUGAGAUUACAGAAAAUUUACCAACCAAAGAGAAUAUUGAGGUAUCCCUUAAUGCCCUUGAAGGCCAAGUUAGUCCCCAAACCAUGAAAAUGACUAGUUAUAUUGGAAAAAAGUCUAUAUCAAUACUCAUAGAUAGGGGUAGUACCCAUAAUUUCUUGGAACCUAGAGCAGCACAGAGGCUCAAAUGUGCUCUAAAGCCCACCUCACCUAUGAUGGUUUCUGUGGCAGAUGGUAGUCAACUCCCUAGCAGCCAACAAUGCUCAUAGUUUAGAUUGAAAAUGAGAUUUUUUUUAAGGAUGUAGUUAGAGUACUACCUAUGGUAGGAUGCGACAUGGUGUUAGGAGUUCAAUGGUUGAAACAGUUGGGGCCAACCACCUUUAACUAUGAGAAGCUAACUUUACAAUUCAAUUAUGGAGGAGAAAUGGUACAACUACAGGGACAAAAUAGAAAUACAUUCCCAGAACUGAAAAUAAUCAUACUAGAAGGUUUGGUCCAACAUAUUAAUGAGAAAGAAAAUGGGUUCCUAGUGAUUCUGCAGUCACUCCCAACCAAUGACUUUACAAUAAGUAUAACACCCCAAACCAUCUCUAGUUGUUAUUCCUUAAACUCUACCACUACAGACCCAAAAAUACAGUCCUUGUUUGAAGAAUACUCGGAUAUUUUUCAAGAACCUCAAGGUAUGCCACCAAAAAGAUCUAUGGAUCAUAGCAUUCCUCUUAAAGCCAACUCUUCACCUUUCUCCAUUAGACCAUACAAGUGCUCUUACGAACAGAAAAAUGAAAAUGGGAAAAGGUUCAAAAAUGCCCCUGACUUUUACCGCGAUGUCUACCGAGCACCCUAUACUUUUUUUUGUCCAAAAGUACACUUAACGUUACAAUUUUUAGGUCGUCUGUGCCUUUGCCGUUAACAGAUCUGCCAACUAGGCUAACAUCCGUCCAAAUUGAUUAUGUGGCUGCCACAUGGAAAUACUAAAAAUACUACUCCCUCCGUCUCAGGAUAAAAGUCCUGGUGGACUUUUCACGCAUAUUAAGAUGAAUAAAAUGACAAAAUUGCCUAUAACAAUGUCAUUAAAUAUGGGGGAGAAGGUUCAAAAAUGCUCCUCACGUUUACCGCGAUGUCUACCGAGCACCCUAUACUUUUUUUGUCCAAAAGUACACUUAACGUUACACUUUUUGGAUCACCCGUGCCCCUGCCGUUAACAGAAGACAAACGGGGUUAAAAUUGGCUGACGUGGCAGACACAUGGAGGCUUAAAGGGAGAAGAUUCAAAAAUGCCCCUGACACGUGUAAAUAUGUCAUUUAAUCAAAACAAAAAUACUAAAAUUCAAAAUAAAAAAAAGCAUAACAUAUUUACAUCAUUUAAUUAAAAUACUCCCUCCGUCCCAGGAUAAAAGUCCUGGUGGACUUUUCACGCAUAUUAAGAAGAGGAAUAAAAUGACAAAAUUGCCAAUAAUAAUGUCAUUAAAUAUGGAGAGAGAAUUAGAAUAAGAAAAGUAUGAGAUAUUAAAUGCUACGAGCAUAAUAGGAAAAAAUGUGUAAAAGUUUGGUUAUUAAAAGAAAGUGGACAUUUAACAUGGGACAACCCAAAAUAGUAAUAAGGACUUUUAUCUUGGGACGGAGGGAGUACUAAAAUUCAAAUUAUUUUGUUAACUAAUCAAAACUACUAAUUAAAUAAAACAAGUUGUAUAACAUAUUUACAUCAUUUAAUCAAAAUACUAAAAUUCAAAACAUAACAUAUUUACAUCAAAUACUAAUUUUAAAAAAAACUAAAAUACUAAUUAAAAAAUACUAAAAAAAUCAAAUUAAAAAAAUAAUAAAAUUCAAAUUAUUUUGUUAAUUAAUCAAAACAACAAAAAUUCAAAUUACAUCAUUAAGAUACUAAAAUCAUAAUACUAAAUACUAAUUGAUAUAAAAAUUUUAAAUUACUAAAAUCAUAAUACUAAAUAAUAUUUUUAAAAUUCAAAAUACUAAAUAACGUUAUACAACUAAUUGAUAUAAUAUUUUUAACGUUAUUAUUCAAAAUGUUAAAUAACGUUAUCAAUUUUUUUAACGCUAAUAUUUUAAAUAUUACUAAAUAACGUUAUCGAAAUUAACGUUGAAUAUUACAAAAUUAACGUUAAUAUUUUUAGUAUUUUGAAAAUUCAACUAAUAUUUUUAUUAUUUUGAUGAUUAACGUUAAUAUUUUUAAAAUUCAAAAUCCAAAAAAUUAACUAAUUCAAAAUUUCAAAAUAAUUAAUGUUAAUUCAACUAAAAUAAUCAAAAAAUAAUUAACGUUAAUAUUUUUUACUAAAUAACGUUAAUUAUUUUGAAUUAGUUGAAUUUUUGAAUAUUUUUAAAAUUCAACUAAAUAAUAUUUUUUAAAAUUCAACUAAUUACAUCAUCAAAAAAUAUUAACGUUUUUAACAUAUCAACUAAUAUUAAAAAAUAUUAACUUUUUUUAAUAUCAAAAAAUAUUAACGUUUUUUAAUAUUUUUAAUAUCAAAAAAUUAACAUUUUUUAAAAUAUUUUAAUUUUUUUAUAUAAAAAAAUAUUAACGUUUUAAUAUUAACCUCAUAUCAAAAAAUUUAAUAUUUUUAAAAUAUUAACGUUUUUUAAUAUCAAAAAAUAUUAUUAAAAUAUUAAAAAAUAUUAACGUUUUUUAAUAUCAAAAUAAUUUGAAUUUUAGUAUUUUGAUUAAAUGAUAUAAAUAUGUUAUGCUUUUUUUAUUUUAAAUUUUAGUAUUUUUUGUUUUGAUUAAAUGACAUAUUUACAUGUGUUAAGGGCAUUUUUGAACCUUCUCCCUUUAAGCCUCCAUGUGUCUGCCACGUCAGCCAAUUUUAACUCCGUUUGUCUUCUGUUAACGGCAGGGGCACGGGUGACCCAAAAAAUGUAACGUUAAGGGUAUUUUUGGACAAAAAAAAAGUAUAGGGUGCUCGGUAGACAUCGCAGUAAAUGUCAGGGGCAUUUUUGAACAUUCUCCCUUAAAUAUGGAGAGAGAAUUAGAAUAAGAAAAGUAUGAGAUAUUUAAUGUUACGAAUAUAAUAGGAAAAUAUGUGUAAAAGUUUGUUUAUUAAAGAAAAAUGGACAUUUAACAUGGGACUACCCAAAAUAGUAAUAAAGACUUUUAUCAUGGGACGGAGGGAGUAAUUAAAAAAUACUAAAUACCAAUUAAAAAAAUAUUAAAAUACUAAUUAAAAAAUACUAAAAUACCAAUUAAAAUAAUACUAAAAUACUAAAAAAAUCAAAUUCAAAUAAUAAAAUUCAAAUUAUUUUGUUAAUUAACCAAAACAACAAAAAUUCAAAUUACAUCAUUAAAAUACUAAAAUCAUAACAUAUUUUACUAAUUGAUAUUAAAUUUUUAAAAUACUAAAUAAUAUUUUUAAAAUUCAAAAUACUAAAUAACGUUAUACAACUAAUUGAUAUAAUAUUUUUAACGUUAAUAUUCAAAAUACUAAAUAACGUUAUCAAUUUUUUUUAACGUUAAUAUUUUGAAUAUUACUAAAUAUUAUAUCAAUUAGUAUUGAAAUAAAAAAAUUCAAGGGUUGAUAUUAAUUAGUAUUGAUAACGUUAUUUAGUAUUUUGAAUUUUAAAAAUAUUAUAUCAAUUAGUUGAUAUAACGUUAUCAAAUUUUUUUUUUGAAAGUAUGUUAUGAUGUAAAUAUGAUAUGUUAUACAACUAAUUGAUAUAUUAAAAUACUAAAUACUAAAAUACUAAAUAAAUUCUUAUUUUAGUAAAAUAUAAUACUAAAUAUAUUCGUAUUUUAGUAAAAAAAAAAAUUAGUAAUUGAAACAAAUUUAACGUUAAAUUUUAGUAAAUUCGUAUUUUAGUAAAAUAUAAUACUAAAUAUAUUCGUAUUUUAGUAAACAAAAUUUAGUAAUUGAAAAAAAAUUAACGUUAAAUUUUAGUAAAUUCGUUUUUUAGUAAAAUAUAAUACUAAAUAUUUAGUAAAAUUUGAUAUGUUAUACUAAUAUUUAGUAAAAAGUAAAAAGUAUAUAAUACUAAUAAUUAGUAAAAUUUGAUAUGUUAUACAACUAUGGUAAAAUUUUAGUAUUUUAGUAAAAUUUUAGUAUUUUAGUAUUUUAAUGAUGUAAUUUGAAUUUUUGUUGUUUUGAUUAAUUAACAAAAUAAUUUGAAUUUUAGUAUUUUUUAAUUUGAUUUUUUUUAGUAUUUUUUUAAUUAGUAUUUAGUAUUUUUUUAAUUAGUAUUUUUAGUAUUUUCAUGUGGCAGCCACAUAAUCAAUUUGGACGGAUGUUAGUCUAGUUGGCAGAUCUGUUAACGGCAGGGGCACGGACUACCCAAAAAUUGUAACGUUAAGUGUACUUUUGAACAAAAAAAAGUAUAGGGUGCUCGGUAGACAUCGCGGUAAAAGUCAGGGGCAUUUUUGAACCUUCUCCCAAAAUGAAAUAGAGAGACUAGUGCUGGAAAUGCUACACAGGGAUCAUAAGACCGAGUCAGUCCAUAUGCUUCUCCCUUGCUCCUAGUUAAGAAAAAGGAUGGCAGCUGAAGAUUUUGUGUUGACUACGGACACCUCAACUCUCUAAUUAUCAAAAAUAAAUAUCCUAUUCCCCUCAUUGAUGAGUUAAUAGAUGAAUUACACGGGGCUAAAUAUUUUACUUAACUGGACUUAAGGGUUGGGUAUCACCAAGUCAGAAUGAGAGAAGAGGACAUUGAAAAGACAACAUUUAGGACACAUCAAGGGCUAUUCGAAUUCACAGUCAUGCCAUUUAGAUUAACUAGUGCCCCUGCCACAUUCCAAAAUUUGAUGAAUCAGGUGUUUCAGCCCCUAAGAAAAAAUGUUUUGGUGUUUUUUGAUGACAUCCUAAUCUACUCCAAGGAUUUGGAUGGACACUACAAACAUCUUCAAGAGGUAUUUCAGAUUCCUAGAGACAAUCAGUUGUAUGCUAAAGGGAGCAAGUGUACAUUUGCACAACCUCAGGUGGAUUAUUUAGGACAUGUAAUUUCUAACACAGGAGUGACAAUGAACCCAACAAAAAUCCACGAUGUACUGGAUUGGCCUGAACUUGAACCAUCAAGUAACUAAGGGGUUUCCUUGGACUUACAGGACACUAUAAGAAAUUCACAAGGGAUUUGGAAUUCUAGCUAAACCCCCGACUUCUCUACUACAAAAAGGAAAAUUUGGGUGGAAUCCAGAGGCUCAACUUUCUUUCACAGCUCUUAAAAAAGCUCUGACUACUUCUCCAGUUUUGGCAUUAAUAGACUUCACCAAGGUUUUUGAAAUUGAGAUUGAUGCAUUAGGAACAGGGAUUGGGGUCAUUCUAAUUCAAGAAGGCAUGCCCCUUGCUUAUUUUAGUAAAGGUUUGGGUUCUAAAAAAGCUCAGAAUUACUCAACCUAUGAGAAGGAACUAAUGGUUGUAGUUGAAACUAUUAAGAGAUAGUCUUCUUAUUUAGGUCAAUGGCAGUCCAGUUCAUUAUCAAAACAGACCACUAGUCCUUGAAGUACUUUUUAGAAUAGAAGGUUGUGACCUGCCUGCAACAAAGAUGGAUGAGCAAGCUUCUGGAUAUGAUUAUAUUUAAAAGGGAAAGGAUAACACAACUGCAGAUGGUUUGUCUAGGAAUUUUUUUGAAGGAACAAAUUCAGAACUUAUUAAUGGGGACAUGAAUGUUCUAAAGGAGGAGGGAAUGUCAGGGUAAAUUGGGAAGGAAAGAGUAGUUAGUAUAUUCUAGAGUUAGAUAUAUUGUAUGCACAUGUAAGCACAUGAGUGGUUAGUUAGCAUGUGUGUGUAGGAUAAGAGAAUGGUGUAGGUUAGGAGUAUUUACACUUUUUCAGUAUUUUAGUAGCUAUAUAUAUGAGUGUAAUGGGUAGAGUAACCCCCAAGCUUUUGAAUAUUAUGCAAUUUGUGAAUGAAAUGAGAAAAGCUCGUUUAAGCUCUCUCUAUCUCUCUCAGUCUCACGAACUCGGUGAUAAAUCACUAAUUCUUCUCCUUUCUCUCUUAUUUCUCUGAAUUCUCUCUUAUUUCUAUCUCCAUCUCUUUUUCUCUCUUAUUUUCUGGUAACAAGGGUUUGACAUAUCCUCACUUUCCCUCGUUUAGUGUUGGACAUUCUUUUUCCUUGUAUUACAUUUUUCUCCUCCAUUAGAUUAUGUUACUAGUAAAUCAUUGAAAAUCUUUUAUGUUUAUUUCAAUGAGUUUGAAAUGAAAUCGGCUUAGCCAGUAUUCUGUGUCAUCCUGGUCUUGGAAGACUUAAUGGUCGGAAGAUAUGAACCAUUUAUUUUCUAUCAACUCAUGUAAAUGUAUAUUGGUUCAACUUGUUAAAAAUCUGUUGUGCCUUCCAUCAAGGAUACAAUGAUAUUAAUAAAUGAACAGAUGCUUUGAAGUAUAUUGAAUUACUGUAACUCUAUUGUUGUCUAUGUUGCUUUUAUACUAAUGUUAGACAUUCUUUUCCCUUGUGUUUCUUUUUCUACGUCAUUAGAUUAUGUUACUGACUUGCUGGUAAAUCAUUGAAAUUUUUGUAUGUACAUUUUUCAGGGAGUUUGAAGCAAAUUGGCAUAGCCAGUGUUCUAGGUCACCCUUUUGUUUGAAGAACGUGUGGAGAUAUAAUCCAGUUAUUUGUUAUCAACUCGUGCAAAUAAAUAUUGGUCCAACUUCUUCAGAAUCCGGGAUUUUUUGUUUUCCCUCAAGGAUGCAAUGGUAUUAAGAACUUAAUAGAUGUUUUCAAGCAUAUUGAAUUACUGUCAAUAAAUAUCUAAUACUGGUAAACGUGUUGAAGUUAAUAUAAGUAGGAGAAAGUAUGAUGAAGGCAACCCUUAUAUUUAUUUCACAAAAAAAUUCUUUGUUCUAAUUGAGAAAAUCGGGAGCCAUAAAGAAAUUCAGAUUCUUGUGUCUACUAUAUUUAGAAAAUGGAAUUCAUAGGACUUCGGAGAUGACUUGUGAAAUGCCACUGUGUCAGUUGUAUCAUUGGUAAUUUGCUAUAUAAUAUAUGCUGACCUGCUGAAUUUUUAUUGCCACGAGAUCGAUAAUUAAAGAGUUUACUGUGAAAGGAAUCUUAAAUAUUUGUUUAGCUUUGGACUUAAAAUGAAAAAAAUCCAUAGUUAUGGUAUGUACAUGGUAGAUAUUUAUAACGUUGGAAGUAUAACAUGAAGAAGUUGAGAACUGCGAUGACUAUUUAAUAUUUGUUGCUAGGUUUAACAUGCUUUCCUGAGUGUUGUGCUUUGAUACAGUAGUGUUGGUUAAAAAUUUCCAUCAUAUUACUUUCAAUUUUUUUUUUGUUAUCUGAUAUCUCACAUUCAUGUCAGUUUCCCUUUGUUAUGGAGUUAUAUAGUUAUAUCCUGCAGUCAAUUUUAGUUUGGAUCCCCGUGUUAGUUAAGUUACUGUUGUAUCCAUGUAUUUGUGGGUAUGUGGGAAGAAGUAGAGUAGUGUCACAUUUUUUGGGUUCUUCAUUAUUGCUUAUUUACUUAAUUUUUUAACAGUUGUUUGUUAUCGUGUUCACCGUCUUCUUUGUGAGUUAGGAAAAUCUUAAUUAGUUCUUCAUUGUUUGCUUACUAAACAAAAAGCUAUGGAUAAACCAUAACUACAGUGAAACUCUUGCAGCACACACCAGUAGUUCUUUUUUUCUUCGUUUUUUCCCCUUAAUUACGGCAACAACUAUCCUUAUGGUGCAUAUCGGAUAAACCAUGGUUUGUACACAAAUACCCCAUCGACCAUGCAUUCCGGGCAAUCCUAUAGUAAAUUAUGUACGAGUGUCCGGAGUUUAUUUGCCAAUGUAUAGUAUUGAACCAUGACUUAAGCCAAUUGCCAAACUGAUAAGGUACUCUAUCCAUAGGCGUAUUACCACUAAAGUAAACUUCAUGGGUACAUAUAUAUAGACUAUUUUUAUCUUGUGAUUGAACUUCAUGACCUAUGCCAACUGUUAAAUUGGAAUUUAUUUGCAGCAUCUUCAUCGUCUGAUUGCACAUUUAUGUGAGUUUGAUAUGAAGUUGGUUGAUGAGACCACUGAGAGAAUACCGGUUUAGGUGAGCAACCGUUGUUAAAUAUUGGUUAUUGAAAUACUUGAGGAAUGAAUAUCUUUUAGAUAUAUGAAUUGGUCAUUUCAUAUCUUCAGUGUUGGGAAAUCUUUCUAAUUUGGACUCUCAUCCUCCUUUAAGCAUUCAAGAGGGACUUUCACUUUUAAGGGGAAUAAAUGCUGCUAUGCAUUUGUAGGCUGGAUUUUCAAUUUUUGAGCAACAUAAGAGAUCAGUUGGCUUUAAGUUUUCAGUUUCCUAAAAACUCAUCCAUUAUACUAGUAUCUUUUGCAUAUACUUAAGCAGUUUAUAUGUUCUCCAUGAAUGUAAUUUGUAUCCUAGUUGUUAUCUUGUUUCGCCCUCAAAAUUUCGUCACUGUUUGAACACGUGCUGGUCUUCUGGUAGGUCAAGCAUUUCACAAAAUUGUUGGCUCAACACUUCGUUUGUUUAAAUUUGCG
rnacentral:lncRNA from 1 species